ensembl:lncRNA
UCUCCAGUCUCCACACCAACUUCUAACUUACCUAGAUCCAGACAAUAUUUUGUGGUCCUCAAAAUUGGCUGCUGUAAGUAACCUUGGCCAGGACAGUGGGUCAUCUCUUUGACUCAACACCUUGUGACUUCGAUGAACCAGAACAUGAGGCAGAAGAGGCCCCCAGAGCAGGUGUCUGUAUUGGGAGCAGUCAGAGGUGUGUCCCAGGCACCAGAGAAACCCAGGGUGAAAGACUCAGGGGGACCUAAGGGGGCAUCUGGAAAAGGGGACACAGAAUGGUUCAGAAGAGAUGGCCCGGCUGGAAAGGCUGACGCCGAGCAUGGCUGUGGGGACAGGAAGCAGCCCACUCAGUCGUGCCCUGGGCCUGGCAAAGUGGUGCUGCUGAGGAGAGACCCGACUGCAUCUGCUACCAUCAGCAGCAGCACCACCACCAAAAGACUCUCACCAAAGAAGAAGGUGGAAUGGAUCCCCUACACGCCUGCCCCCUCCAGCCCGGUGCUGAGCUCGGUAUGGAUCUACAGGGAGCGCAUGAAGCGCACCCAGCAAAGGGAAGCCAGCCGCGCCGCUCCCACAGACCAGCUGGGGAGACUCAGCUUGAAAGACCCCUUCCUCCUCCCCAUGGACACUGAGAGCUCGGGGGCUGGGGAGGGAUCCGGUGUGCUGGGGCUCAGAGCGGCCAGUUACACCGAGAGCAGAGCGGGGCUGGAAAGCCAGGGGCAGGAGCACUGGGGAUCCGGUUGGCCAGCCUCAGAGGGGCAGGAGGCAGAGGCUCGGCCAGAGAGUCCCAGCAGAGAUGGCGGCUGCUGGUACAGCACCUCCCCGCCAUCCAGCAAGAACAUGAUGCCCUUCCGGCGGAAGAAGAGCACCAACCUGCAACCCAGCGUGUCCUGGGCAGAUGACGACUACUGGGCCAGCUGGGACGGCUGGAAUGAGGUGAUCAACUGGGAGGCCAACGGGCCCUCUAGGCGCAGGGGGAGGAACCGCAAUCGGGAGGGCAAGAGAAACAGCCACAGUUGGGGCGACACGGGCUGCCAGCGAUGAACACAGGCUGUGGUGACGUCUCUGGUAUGCGAUGACGAUGACCAUUCUUUUGUCUGGUUGAAAUUUUGCAAAUAUAUAAUAUAUGUAAUACACAGAGUAUUAAAG